GAUGAACGCUAGCGGCAGGCUUAAUGCAUGCAAGUCGAGGGACAGCACGGGUAGCAAUACUGGGUGGUAACCGGCAAACGGGUGCGGAACACGUACACAACCUUCCUUUAAGUGGGGGAUAGCCCAGAGAAAUUUGGAUUAAUACCCCGUAAUAUAGUUGAAUGGCAUCAUUUGAUUAUUAUAGCUACGGCGCUUAAUGAUGGGUGUGCGGCUGAUUAGAUAGUUGGCGGGGUAACGGCCCACCAAGUCUACGAUCAGUAGCUGAUGUGAGAGCAUGAUCAGCCACACGGGCACUGAGACACGGGCCCGACUCCUACGGGAGGCAGCAGUAGGGAAUCUUCCACAAUGGGCGAAAGCCUGAUGGAGCAACGCCGCGUGAGUGAAGAAGGAUUUCGGUUCGUAAAACUCUGUUGUAAGGGAAGAACAAGUACAGUAGUAACUGGCUGUACCUUGACGGUACCUUAUUAGAAAGCCACGGCUAACUACGUGCCAGCCGCCGCCGUAACAC
rnacentral:rRNA from 1 species